rnacentral:misc_RNA from 1 species
AAUUCUCAAGACCUGUCUGCUUUUUUGAUAGGUAUUGGAUUUUGGGGGUUGCAGGCUGUUUCAAAUAAAUAGCCUUGCUCUCCUUGAAUGUAUUAGUGGAGAAAAGCCAUUGAACUCCAUUGGUGUGAUAAAACCUAUCAAUGCCAGGAGCAAUAUCACUACUUCUCUCUGCUGUCUAACUGUGACUGUCUGUAUUAAUUAGUAUGGAUGGGGACAACUUGACCA